rnacentral:rRNA from 1 species
CCUACGGGAGGCUGCAGUGAGGAAUAUUGGUCAAUGGGCGUAAGCCUGAACCAGCCAAGUCGCGUGAGGGAUGAAGGUUCUAUGGAUUGUAAACCUCUUUUAUAAGGGAAUAAAGUGCGGGACGUGUCCCGUUUUGUAUGUACCUUAUGAAUAAGGAUCGGCUAACUCCGUGCCAGCAGCCGCGGUAAUACGGAGGAUCCGAGCGUUAUCCGGAUUUAUUGGGUUUAAAGGGUGCGUAGGUGGCUUUUUAAGUCAGCGGUGAAAGUCUGUGGCUCAACCAUAGAAUUGCCGUUGAAACUGGGAGGCUUGAGUAUGUUUGAGGCAGGCGGAAUGCGUGGUGUAGCGGUGAAAUGCUUAGAUAUCACGAAGAACCCCGAUUGCGAAGGCAGCUUGCCAAGCCAUGACUGACGCUGAUGCACGAAAGCGUGGCGAUCAAACAGGAUUAGAUACCCGUGUAGUC